CCACAGGCUUCUCUUGAAGCCAACAUCUAUGCUCAAAUCACUUUUG
rfam:Bacillus sp. OV166 genome assembly, contig: Ga0115450_11